rnacentral:tRNA from 1 species
GCGAAUGUGGUGAAACGGUAGACACGCCAGCUUGAGGGGCUGGUGCCAGUAAUGGUGUGGGGGUUCAAAUCCCCCCAUUCGCACCA